rnacentral:rRNA from 1 species
UACGAAGGGGGCUAGCGUUGCUCGGAAUCACUGGGCGUAAAGGGCGCGUAGGCGGAUCUUUAAGUCAGGGGUGAAAGCCCAAGGCUCAACCUUGGAAUUGCCUUUGAUACUGGGGAUCUUGAGACCGGUAGAGGUAAGUGGAACUGCGAGUGUAGAGGUGAAAUUCGUAGAUAUUCGCAAGAACACCAGUGGCGAAGGCGGCUUACUGGACCGGAUCUGACGCUGAGGCGCGAAAGCGUGGGGAGCAAACAGG